rnacentral:rRNA from 1 species
UAGCCUAACGGCUGAACCAGCAACUUGGAGGAAUGUAGGCAUAUAAUGAUAUAUAUGCUAUCGACUACGUCGUAUAAAGUUCUAGAUAGAUAAAUGAUAAUGACAAAUUUCUAUCUAUAUGUCUUGACCAAAUCUCGUGCCAGCAGUCGCGGUAAUACGAGGAAGACUAGUGUUAUUCAUCUUUAAUAGGUUUAAAGGGUACCUAGACGGUAUAUAAUGCCUUAAACGGUACAUAUUUACUAGAGUUUGAUGUAAGAGGAAAAUUUAGAACUAUUAGAGUAGAGAUGAAAUUUUGUCAUACUAAUAGGACUGGUAAGCGAAAGCAACCCUUUAUGUGAAAACUGACGUUGAGGGACGAAGGCCUGGGUAACGAAUAGGAUUAGAUACCCUAGUAGUCCAGGCAGAUAAUUAUGAAUGUUAUAUGUAUGUAAAAGUACAGAAAAGAAAAACUUGGAAGUACAAAAUACAAAAUGUAUGUAUAAAUGAAAGUGUAAGCAUUCCACCUCAAGAGUAAUGCGGCAACGCAGGAACUGAAAUCAUUAGACCGUUUCUGAAACCAGUAGUGAAGUAUGUUAUUUAAUUCGAUAGUCCUCGAAAAACCUUACCACAAUUUGAAUUUUUUCGUUAGUUAUAUUAUUAUCGGGAUUAAAUUCCAUAAUAACCAUAACGUUAAAACAAGUGUUGCACGGCUGUCUUCAGUUAAUGUCGUGAGAUUUUGGUUAGAUCCAUUUAAUUAACGUAAACCCUUGCUUUAUUUAUUAUAAUAUAAAGUAGUUCACCGCUAUAUUGGAUGUGAUAACAAGGACU